CUGCACGGGCCUGGCUCAACCCGCC
rnacentral:siRNA from 1 species